rnacentral:rRNA from 1 species
ACUCCUACGGGAGGCAGCAGUGGGGAAUAUUGCACAAUGGGGGAAACCCUGAUGCAGCCAUGCCGCGUGUGUGAAGAAGGCCUUCGGGUUGUAAAGCACUUUCAGUAGGGAGGAAGGUAGUGUAGUUAACACCUGCAUUAUUUGACGUUACCUACAGAAGAAGCACCGGCUAACUCCGUGCCAGCAGCCGCGGUAAUACGGAGGGUGCGAGCGUUAAUCGGAAUUACUGGGCGUAAAGCGCAUGCAGGCGGCCUGUUAAGUCAGAUGUGAAAGCCCGGGGCUUAACCUCGGAAUUGCAUUUGAAACUGGCAGGCUAGAGUCUUGUAGAGGGGUUAGAAUUUCGAGGUGUAGCGGUGAAAUGCGUAGAGAUCUGAAGGAAUACCAGUGGCGAAGGCGGCCCCGUGGACAAAGACUGACGCUCAGAUGCGAAAGCGUGGGAGCAAACGAGGAUUAGA